UAGUCAUAUGCUUGUCUCAAAGAUUAAGCCAUGCAUGUCUAAGUACAAACCCCAGUACGGUGAAACCGCGAAUGGCUCAUUAAAUCAGUUACGGUUCAUUGGAUGUUGAAAAGCUACAUGGAUAACUGUGGUAAUUCUAGAGCUAAUACAUGCGAAAAGCCGCUUCGGCGGCGCAUUUAUUAGACCAAGACCAGCGGAGCGCAAGCUCUACCGGUGGUGACUCUGAAUAACUUUCGCCGAUCGCAUGGCCUCGCGCCGGCGAUGUAUCCUUCGAGUG
rnacentral:rRNA from 1 species